rnacentral:rRNA from 1 species
UACAGAGGUGGCAAGCGUUGUUCGGAAUUACUGGGCGUAAAGGGCGCGUAGGCGGUCUUUUAAGUCUUGUGUGAAAUCCCUCGGCUCAACUGAGGAACUGCACGGGAUACUGGAAGACUUGAGUUCGGGAGAGGGAAGCGGAAUUCCGGGUGUAGCGGUGAAAUGCGUAGAUAUCGUGAGGAAGACCAGUUGCGAAGGCGGAUCUCUGGGCAGUUCCUGACACUGAGGCACGAAGGCCAGGGGAGCAAACGGG